GUUAUAAAUGACCCUAUCUCCUUUGCUCGCUGUACUCUCGUGGCAAAACUGCUGUUAUAGUCAGUGCCAGUAGACUGAGAGUUUUGGCAAAUCCACAGUGACUCGCCUAUUCUCUGUGGUGGACACUGUUGCAUGGAAGGAGCUCCCAGGAUUCCCCAGGCGUGUUCUUCUGGUAUGGUGGCUUCUGACUUGGCUUGGGUUACUGAGCCAACUUGAUACCUUCGGUGCUCUGUCUGCUUUUUGCUGUUACCAAGGAUAGUGGACUCCACCCGAGGAAGUUACAACAGGAGAGCUUCCUAGGGUGGCAGAUACAUGCAGCCAAUUUAAGCCCAACCUGUAGGCAGAAGCAGAGCUACCCAGCUAAUCUGCAGACAUGCGGGGAACUUGUCUGCUUUAGAAAUGCUGCCUGAUGGACCAGCACCAAGGACGUUUCUUCAGAAGAAAAGCUGUCUCUUUCCCCUGUUCUCUUACAUUCUUUUGCAUAAGGCAGGUACUCGAUAAAUUGAACUGAUUAGUUGCACUGCCCAAUAAGGUAGUCAUUAUCACCUCUGGCUAUUUAAAUUUAAAUUAUUCACAAUUAAACAAAAUAAAAAUUCAAGUUCUCAAUAGCCACAUGUGGCUAGAGGCCACCAUAUUAGACAGCACAGAUGUGGACCAUUUCCAUCAUCACAAAGUUCUGUUGGACAGUGGCUACGUCUAGAUUCCAGAGGUUGGGUAAUUUAUUAAUUCUGAAGGCUGGGAGAAGUAAAUUCUUUGUGGUUUGAUGAUAUGAGUGCUGCGACGAUAGGAUGGAGAGAGGAGAAAGGGAAUAAAAGAAAAAAAUGAGCUCUAUAAUCUCCUUUUACCUUUGGUUUAGACAUAAAUAAUCUUUAUGAAAUACCACCUGGUGUGUUGGUUAUACUC
rnacentral:lncRNA from 1 species